AGUGAACGCUGGCGGUAGGCCUAACACAUGCAAGUCGAACGGCAGCACAGUAAGAGCUUGCUCUUACGGGUGGCGAGUGGCGGACGGGUGUGGAAUACAUCGGAAUCUACUUUUUCGUGGGGGAUAACGAAGGGAAACUUACGCUACUACCGCAUACGACCUACGGGUGAAAGCAGUGGAUCUUCGGACCUUGCGCGAUUGAAUGAGCCGAUGUCGGAUUAGCUAGUUGGCGGGGUAAAGGCCCACCAAGGCGACGAUCCGUAGCUGGUCUGAGAGGAUGAUCAGCCACACUGGAACUGAGACACGGUCCAGACUCCUACGGGAGGCAGCAGUGGGGAAUAUUGGACAAUGGGCGCAAGCCUGAUCCAGCCAUACCGCGUGGGUGAAGAAGGCCUUCGGGUUGUAAAGCCCUUUUGUUGGGAAAGAAAAGCAGCAGGUUAAUACCCCGCUGUUCUGACGGUACCGAAAGAAUAAGCACCGGCUAACUUCGUG
rnacentral:rRNA from 1 species